rfam:Xenopus laevis strain J chromosome 7L, whole genome shotgun sequence.
GGAACAGCGGCGGCGCGGGAAAUGAUGUUUAGUGUUAACGUGUGUGUUUGUCCGAAUGCGUUGCGUGGGUGUAGAGGCCGGUGUGUGUGUGUGUGUGUGAGUCUGUGCAUGCCGGCGGGUGAGAGUUGUGCGCUGCUGCUCCUGCCUUUCUAUUACACACAUUGAUCUUAUUUGAUCACCCGCGUGGAUGGCGGCCUGUCCCACGGGUGAAAUGAUAGGAAACCGCUCGCUAAGCCCUACCCGGGCGCUGUGCGCUGAGCUCGGCUUUGCAGGCCGCUAAUCAUUGAAAUGAUGAAUCGAUCAGAUAUACUAGGCUGGGCUGAGGGGCUUCCCCAAUAAUCCCGGCCUGUGAGUAUAGAGGCGAUUCUGAUCUGA